GCGAACACGAGUCGCUGGUGUAAAGAACUCUCCACUUUAGCUAGUGCUUUUUACUUGUUCGUAGAUAAAUUGUACUUUGCCCAAGCAUAACCCAAAUUUGUAAUUACUGAAUUUGCGGUGCAUAUUUUCUUUGCAAAGCCGACAUUU
rnacentral:snoRNA from 1 species